rnacentral:rRNA from 1 species
UACGUAGGGUGCGAGCGUUAAUCGGAAUUACUGGGCGUAAAGCGUGCGUAGGCGGUUCGCUGUGUCCGAUGUGAAAGCCCCGGGCUUAACCUGGGAAUGGCAUUGGAAACUGGCGGGCUUGAGUGCGGCAGAGGGGGGUGGAAUUCCGCGUGUAGCAGUGAAAUGCGUAGAGAUGCGGAGGAACACCGAUGGCGAAGGCAGCCCCCUGGGUCGACACUGACGCUCAGGCACGAAAGCGUGGGGAGCAAACAG